CACAGUAUUUUGCUGCAUUGUGUUUUAACUUUUUGGCCUCCCAUUUAUUGCUAGGAAGUACUCCAUUCUGAAUGAAUGCCAGUAUUGGAUGCCUCCAGUUCUUUUGAGGGUCGGAAGUGACAGCCAAUACUUGGCACGUGGGCUGGAGUAUAGAGUCCACUAAAAUCUCGCGCUGCCUUCCCUCCCAAGCUGACACUAAACGUGCUAAAGCGUCAGCGGGUAAAUUUUGAAUUCGAGGGAUUUGCUCGAUCUUG
rnacentral:lncRNA from 1 species